GCUGAGACGGGAUCCCGGUUCGCUGAGAAGUGGUUCCGCUGCGGGACGCUCGGCCUUCUGGCUGCAGGAGACUUUGGGCUGUUUUUGUGCCAUGCACCCUUUACAGUGUGUCCUCCGCAUGCAGAGAUGUCAGAGGUGGGGGCCCUUGGCCUCCGUGUCCUGGGUGCUGCUCAGGACCUGCAGGGCACACAGUGGUCUCCCCAGUACUGCAUGUUCCAGUCCAGAGAGGCAACAGGAGGAUGGAGUUUGGAAAGAUUUCAGCUCCAGGCUGGCCACUGGACCGACUUUUCAGCAUUUUUUAAGAAAUGCUUCAGUUCCUCAAGAGAAACCGUCUUCAGAAGUGGACGACCCACCCCCGUAUCUCACAGUGGAUGAACUUUCAGGAAGACAGAGAAAAGUCUACCUUGAGACCUAUGGCUGCCAGAUGAAUGUGAAUGACACAGAGAUAGCCUGGUCCAUCUUACAGAAGAGUGGCUACCUGCGGACCAGUAACCUUCAAGAGGCUGAUGUGAUCCUCCUUGUCACGUGUUCUAUCAGGGAAAAGGCUGAACAGACCAUCUGGAAUCGUUUACAACAGCUCAAAGUUCUGAAGUCAAAACGGCUCCGCUCCCGAGUGCCUCUGAAGAUUGGGAUUCUAGGCUGCAUGGCUGAGAGAUUAAAGGAAGAGAUUCUCAACAGGGAGAAGAUGGUGGAUAUUUUGGCUGGUCCAGAUGCCUAUCGGGACCUUCCUCGGCUGCUUGCUGUUGCCAAAUCAGGCCAGCAAGCUGCCAACGUGCUGCUGUCUCUGGAUGAGACCUAUGCCGAUGUCAUGCCAGUCCAGAUGAGCCCCAGUGCCACUUCUGCCUUUGUGUCUAUCAUGAGAGGCUGUGACAACAUGUGCAGCUACUGCAUUGUACCUUUCACACGUGGCCGGGAGAGGAGUCGGCCUGUUGCCUCUAUAUUAGAGGAAGUGAGGAAGCUUUCUGAGCAGGGCCUGAAAGAAGUGACACUCCUUGGUCAGAAUGUUAAUAGUUUUCGGGACACUUCAGAGGUCCAGUUCAACAAUGCAGUGUCCACCAACCUCAGCCGUGGCUUUUCCAGCAACUAUAAAACCAAGCAAGGGGGCCUUCGUUUUGCUCACCUUCUAGAUCAGGUCUCCAGAAUAGAUCCUGAAAUGAGGAUCCGUUUUACCUCUCCCCACCCCAAGGAUUUUCCUGAUGAGGUUCUGCAGCUGAUUCAUGAGAGAGACAACAUCUGUAAACAGAUCCACCUACCAGCCCAGAGUGGAAGCAGCCGUGUAUUGGAGGCUAUGCGGAGGGGAUACUCAAGAGAAGCUUAUGUGGAAUUAGUUCAUCAUAUCAGAGAGUCUAUUCCAGGUGUGAGCCUCAGCAGUGAUUUCAUUGCUGGCUUUUGUGGUGAGACGGAGGAAGAUCACUUCCAGACCGUGUCUUUGCUUCAGGAAGUUCAGUACAACAUGGGCUUCCUCUUUGCCUACAGCAUGAGACAGAAGACACGGGCAUAUCACAGACUGAAGGAUGAUAUCCCGGAAGAGGUCAAGUUAAGGCGUUUGGAAGAACUUAUCACUGUCUUCCGAGAAGAAGCAACAAAAGCCAACAAGGCUUUUGUGGGUUGUACCCAGCUGGUGCUGGUGGAGGGGCUCAGUAAACGCUCUGCUACUGACCUGUGCGGCCGGAAUGAUGGAAACCUUAAGGUGAUCUUUCCUGAUGCAGAGAUGGAGGAUGUCACUAACUCUGGGCUCAGGGUCCGAGCUCAGCCUGGGGAUUAUGUGCUGGUGAAGAUCACCUCUGCCAGCUCUCAGACACUUAAAGGACAUGUUCUCUGCAGGACCACUCUGAAGGACUCCUCAACAUAUUGCUGACCUGAGUGGUUGGCCUCAGUCCUUCCCAACAGGAAGGGAGAUAUGACUGGUCACUAAUGAAAGAGGAUUUUUCUCUGCAGCAAUGAGUGGUAGACUGCCCAGAGCCUCUUGGCUCACGGACACCAGGCCACCAACAGCAUCAGUAGCUUCUGAGACCAAUGGCACUGGGAGCUUUGGGGACUGGUUGCUUCCCUUGCCCAGGAGACCACCAAGGCCACCAUCUCCAAGGAUACUGAGGGCUGAAGUGAUGUCUAACAGAGACAGCACAUCUAAGUUGGACACCGUGGAUAUCACUUCCCCCAGCACACCAGCCAGACUUACCUCCUCACACUUCAGCAGCUUCUCUAUCUUCAGGGGCAGGAUGGUGUUCAGAUCUGAAAAGGGUCAAGAGACACGUUCCUGCUGUUGGCUGCCCAUCUCUUCCAGCCAGUGGAACGUUUGCAGCUGGAGAGCCAGCACCUUGGAAUUGUGGGGUCCAUAGGCACUGUAUAUCAUGCCUCCUGGAAAUAUCAAUCCCUGCCUCUGCCUACCACAAGGUCGGUCUGCUGUUCCAGAAAUAUAUCUGUCCCCUCUUAAUAAUUAACAUUUAUUGGCACCUGCCUGAAGCCAACCUGGUGUUGUGUUACUCUAAAGUGAUUUGGGCAUGGAAAGAAGGGACCUAGUUUAGCUUUUGAGCCUAGUAACCUAGGAUAUGUAUAGUCUGGACUCUGCCCCUUGAAGACCAAGUAGCCUAGGGCAGGGUCUUCUGUUUCCUGAGCUCCAGUCUUGCCCCUGUCCAGGGGUGCAUGAUGGAACCUGCAGUGUGGGUCAUUGGUUUCAGGACAAAUGAGUGAUGGCUGAUUUUAAGUGCUGAGUGGGGCAGGAGGCAGCUAGGGAAGUGGUGGUGGAGCUGACAGAUCUGAAUCCCCUGUUCUCCAUCCAUGUGAUUUCUAUGCAAGUCCUUUUUCUUCUCUAGGCCUCAUUUUUCUAUUGUAGGUCAUUGGGAGGUUCUGCUACCUUUGACAAGCUGCCCCUACUAGGAUAACUCCUGCAUCAGCUCUAAUCCUCCUGCAGCAUGGUUGUCAUCAGGGGGAAGGAGGUGCUAACCACAUCCUUGCCUCCACACUGGAGGUGAGCAGGGUGGGGAGAAGUGGAAUCCUAGAAGAUGGUGGGGAAGGGAAGGAGGGUCAGGAGCCAACUCGGAGAGCCGUGAAGUCUCAUGAACCUCUGUGCCACUCUCGAUGGCCUGAGGAAGGAACUUGGAAGAAGAGGUAUUACAGCUGGAUGGUGGUCACCUUGCCCACCUCAGUGAAGAAGUUGAUUAGACAGAGGGACAACAUUCCUGGCCCUGCAGAGUAGCAGGAGGAAGAAGUCGGCUAGUAUCAGCCUGUGUUGAGUUGAGGAGCCAUGGCAUUUGGAGCCUUGCUGCUGCUUCCUGUGCCCAGGGCUCUGCACGCUGGAGAGCCUUUGCCUGUGAUGUGGAUACACCCCCAUUCUAGUUCUAUGCCCUAGAGAAUCUCUUGUGCACAUGCAUCCAGAGAGCUGCAUGAUAGCGUUCAGAUCAGCCUUGCUCAUAGUAGCACAAAAUUAAAAAAAAAAGGAAAUGAAAUAGAUGCGUAAAUCGUGGAGGACUCAUCAGGUACAAUAGUGCAGUAAAAGUGAAUGGACAAGUCCCUUUAUGAUUGGAUUACUUCAUUCUGUUGAUUCUUGUUUUGUGGUUGGCUUUAUUCCUUUGAUAACUAUGUAAAUUUAAAAAGCUAAAAGUCUAAACUGUUCUUAGAAACGGAUCAGUACAAUAUGUAAACUAAGGAAAGUCCAGUAUAUUGUGUAUUUGUAUUUACAUGCAGUAUAUUGUAUAUGUGCUGUCAAAUUGUAACAAUUCUACCCAAUAAAACUGAAAAAUGAAAAAAGAA